UCAUCAUCAUCAUCAUCAUCAUCAUCAUCAUCAUCAUCAUCAUCAUCAUCAUCAUUAUUAUCAAAUUGAGGCUUGGGAUGCUUCUGGAAAGCUAUGAGAUGGUGAGAUGAUA
rnacentral:miRNA from 14 species